GACGAACGCUGGCGGCGUGCUUAACACAUGCAAGUCGAACGGAAAGGCCCUGCUUUUGUGGGGUGCUCGAGUGGCGCACGGGCGUGUAACACGUGAGUAACAUGUCCUUGACUUUGGGAUAACUUCAGGAAACUGGGGCUCAUACCGGAUAGGAGCUCCUGCUGCACGGUGGUGGAUGGAAAGUUUCGGCGGUUGGGGCUGGACUCGCGGCUUAUCGGCUUGUUGGUGGGGUAGUGGUUUACCAGGGCUUUGACGGGUAGCCGGCCUGAGAGGGGGACCGGCCACAAUGGGACUGCGAUACGGCCCAGACUCCUACGGGAGGCAGCAGGGGAGAACAUUGCACAAUGGGCGGAAGCCUGAUGCAGCAACGCCGCGUGCGGGAUGACGGCCUUCGGGUUGUAAACCGCUUUCGCCGGUGACGAAGCGUGAGUGACGGUAAUGGGUAAAGAAGCACCGGCUAACUACGUG
rnacentral:rRNA from 1 species